UUUUAAUUCAGUAGAUUCCAAAUCAAAUAUACUCCUAAUUAGAGUGUGUAGAUGGCGAUAUUACGAAUUUUUAAUUUUCGUUAAGUUGUUUGAUGUAGUUAUGAAUAAGGGUGUACGGUUAGAUAAGUAAUAAAGUUAUAAGUACAUAAUUAUACUUAAUUAGGUACGGAAUUUAUAGUUAGUGACGAACUUUAUGAUUCAUGAGUUGUGUGUGUAGAAGUGUUUGUUGGAGAACGUGCUAUUCUGGUCUAGUCCGGAUCUUCUCCAAUCCCUUCAAAUGGAUUAAAGAGAACAAUUGCAGCCCGGGAAAACUAUUUACGACCAUACUUAAAUGAUCGAGACCGUUCAUUUUUUUUAGAGUAAUAAAUGAAGAGAGAAAUAUAAACAAUUUAUAAGAGACCGUGCUAGGGGUUUUGAGAUCCGAAAACAAACAAGGCCUAAAAAAUCAAAUUUAUUGGAUAUCCUUUGAUAUGAUUUUGGAACAUAUUUAUCUUGCAAAAACUUAGAUUGCAGCACUGGUACAAAACCUGUUUCUAUUCUUUUUGCUAUAUGAAUGUGUUUUGAAAUCGUAUCAAACAAUAAUCGAUCAACUUGCUCUCAAUGAGUUCAAGAAUAGGACCAGUCCCGAUCAUUGAAUGUGAGAUCGAAAAGAUUUUUUCCGGGCCGGAAUGGGAGAAAUUGUUCUCUCCAAUCUAUAUAUAUACACGAAGGAAUUGGAGAGGAGUGGGACUCAUUCUGGUCAGUUACGAAUGAGUGUUUGCGGUGCGUACCGAUCGAAAUGUCAUGCUUUAUUUUGGCUAGUUACUUACUUCCUCCGUCCCAAUUUGUUUGUCCAAUUGUCGAAAUUUGUGUCUUUCAAAAUUAUAUUUAUAUCUUACAUUUUAUGAUUUUGAAGAUUUUGUAUAGUAUAAUUAUUUGAGAUCUACCAAAUAAGAUCCAUAUUGCAUCUUAAAAACAUUACGAAUUGAAAAUUAUAAACAAUUUUUUUAAAGAUCAAACACUCUCAAAAAAUCAAAAAAAUGGACAAACAAAUCAAGACCGAUGGAGUAGUUUGUAAUUGCUAGGCAUGGGGGCUUGGUCUGCCUUGCAAUACAGUACUAGUAUUUAUGUGUCGGUCAUGUGCAUGGGGUCCAAUGUUGAUGUUGGUUCUUUUUUUUUUUUUUUGAUCAGCUUGAUGAGUGGUUCUUGAUCCAAUAUUUAUUUCAAUAUCGGGUAUGAAUAAGCUUUAUGUGAUCCUAAAACACAUGACUAUUAUUUACUCCCUAGGUUAGAGAUUAUAAAUACAAGGUUAGUGCCUACCCUCAUUAAUCACUGCAAAGGUAAGAGGAGAGAAAAUUUUAUUUCUGUAGGUUGGUUGGGGAUCACGUGGUCUAUUGCCACCACAAUCACAAGGUGUAAGACCUCUGUUUUGCUUUUUUUAAUAAUUGAAGGCGUCGGAGUCGGCUAACACAUAUUUUGAUUAAUUUUUGAGAACCAAUUUCGUCAUUUACCAGUGGGGCCAGCCGAUAGAGCCAGGUCAAUAGGCCCAUAACCCCACAAGAAUUGAUGAUACCAAUUUCAAAUCUCAAACCAAGAAGAAACGAACGACCUUGUUCGGUUGUGAGAUUUGGAAUUUGAAUUUUAGAUUCUUUCUCCAUUUUUUAUCUUUAUUUUUAAUUAUUACUCUCAUCUCUCUCUCUCUCUCUCUCUCUCUCUCUCUCCAAUCAUUAUUCAUGUUUCCAAUUAUUAUUCUUUUCUCUCUACACUCAUUACCUACAAAUC